AAGGUCCUACUUCAGUGGCAGAUCUGGUGGCCUUGGAGUGGCUGAAGACCACCACCCUCUACAGGGCUGGGCCCAUGCACAGCCAUCCUUCCCUACCUUGAGUGAGCUUCCUCUGCAUGUUUUCUAUAUCACUGGCAGAGCCUGUAGUUGGAAAGGGGACAGAGUGACUACUGGACUUUGUAUGAAAACACCAACCGGGACAGACCUUCAGUCAAGGCUGAGACAGGGAACUCCUGUAGCCUGUAAUACCAGCUGUGAGUACUACUCUCAGUGUUGGAGAUCAUCAAAAUACAAUUGGACCAGACCCUUUGGAAAUAAUUCUGUGUCUCAAAUGCCCUGUGGAGCACACACUUAAUCAGUUGAUGGCUAUGGAAUUUUCCAACAUCAGCUAAAGAGAAGGGCCUGCUUUAAGGCUGGCCAGUUCUGCAAGAAAGGCAAGGAGGAGGAGACUGGCUCACAGCCUGGAGGUUGGUGAGAAGGGUGAGGGGUCAGUUCAGGGGACAGUUGGAGAAAGAGAGCAUGGCAGGUGGCUUUGAGCCCAGUGGGUGCAGACUCAACUUCUACUCUGCUGGAUUUGCACAGUGUCAGCAUCCUUUUUAUUUCUUGCAGGAGACACGAGAUAGGUGUAGGUUGGGUUAUGACUCAGAAAAGACCUGAAAGCAGGGAUCAGGACUCAGGAAAUGAUAGAUACAUUGAACCCUUGAAUGGGAAGAGAGAUAUUUGUCACAGGGGCCAGAGUNNNNNNNNNNACCUUACCCACACUUCUGUCUGACUUAGCUCCCAGUUGGGAGUUCCCGCAACCCCCUCCUCAGGUUCAGUAAUUUGCUAUGAGGGCCCACUGAACUCGGGGAAACUCUACUUCCUAUUAUUGGUUCAUAAAGAAUAUAAAUUAAAAGUCAGAUGAAGAGGUACAUUAUGGCAAGGUCCAGAAGGGUCCCAAAUGCAGAAGCUGCCAUUCAUGUGGAUUUGGGGUACACCACCUUCCCAGAAUAUGAGUGAGUUUACCAACCUAGAACCUCUCAGACAUUUGGGGUUUUUAUAGAGGUUUCAUUACAUAGGCGUGAUUGAUGAAAUCAUUGACCAUUGGUGAUUAGCUCAAUCUUCAGCCCCUCUCUUCUCCUUGGAGGUCAAGGGGUGAGGCUGAAAGUUCCAACCCUCUAAUCAUACCUUGAUCUUUCUGGUGACCAUCCAUAUCUUGAAGCUAUCUAGUAGCCAGUCAUCUCGGAGCAUAAAAAAAGACACCUAUCACUCCAGAGAUUCCAAGGGUCUUAUUGUCAAGAGCUUGAGACUAAAGCCGCAUGGAACAAAAGAUGCUUCCAUUAUCCCUAUCAGGAAAUAGCAGGGGUUCUAGGAGCUCUAUGCCAGGAAUAUGGGACAAAGAUUUAUGGUUACCAAAGGCUGGAAAGGGUAUUGGGGAUGGGGUAUAAAAAGGAGUUGGUUAAUGGGUACAAAAACACAGUUAGAAGGAAUAUGAUCUAGUAUUCAGUAGCUCAACAGGGUGCCUAUAGUUAACAACAAUUAUUAUAUAUUUCAGUGUAAUUAGAAGAAUAGAUUUGGAGUGUUCUCAGUGCAACAAAAUGAUAAAUAUUUGAGGUGAUGUAUAUCUCAAUUACAUUACACAUUGUGUGUUUAUAUCAAAAUGUAAUUUAUACUCCAUAAAUAUGUACAAAUAUUACAUAUCCAUAUAAAUUAAAAAUUUUAAAAAAUUUAAAAAAUAACUCAUUUCAAAUUUCAAUCAAAAUAAAAAAGAUCAAAUGCUUGUUUCUUCA
ensembl:lncRNA